CACGUAGGGACCAAGCGUUGUCCGGAUUCAUUGGGCGUAAAGAGCUCGUAGGCGGUUCGAUAAGUCGGGUGUGAAAUCCCUCGGCUCAACCGAGGAACUGCACUCGAUACUGGUUGGCUCGAGUCCGGGAGGGGAUGGUGGAAUUCCCAGUGUAGCGGUGAAAUGCGUAGAGAUCGGGAGGAACACCUGUGGCGAAGGCGGCCGACUGGGCCGACCCUGACGCUGAGGCGCGAAGGCGUGGGGAGCGAACGGG
rnacentral:rRNA from 1 species